rnacentral:rRNA from 1 species
GUGUCAGCAGCCGCGGUAAUACGUAGGUGACAAAUGUUAUCCGGAAUUACUGGGCGUAAAGGGUCUGUAGGCGGACGUUUAGGUCUGGUGUGACAUCUCGCGGCUUAACUGCGAGCGAGCGCCGGAAACCGGACGACUAGAAUCACGUCGAGGUCGGUGGAAUUCCCGGUGUAGUGGUGGAAUGCGUAGAGAUCGGGAGGAACCUCGAAAGCGAAGGCAGCCGGCUAGACGAUGAUUGACGCUGAGGGACGAUAGCGUGGGUAGCAAACAGGAUUAGAAACCCUCGUAGUCC